rnacentral:rRNA from 1 species
GACGAACGCUGGCGGCGUGCCUAAUACAUGCAAGUCGAACGCAGUGGGGACGGGUGAGUAACACGUGGGUAACCUCCCAUCAGAGGGGAUAACACUUGGAAACAGGUGCUAAACCGAUACUGAUGGAUGAACCCGCGGUGCAUUGUCUAGUUGGUGAGGUAACGGCUCACCAAGGCCACGGUGCAUAGCGGACCUGAGGGGGUGAUCGGCGACACGGGGAGUGAGAGACGGCCGAGACUCCGACGUGAGGCAGCAGUAGGGACUCGUCGGCAAGGGAGGAAAGUCGGACCGAGCAACGCCGCGUGAGUGAAGAAGGUUUGCGGAUCGUAAAACUCUGUUGUUAGAGAAGCGGUAUCUAACCAGAAAGCCACGGCUAACUACUUGCCAGCCGCCGCGUAAUUC